rnacentral:rRNA from 1 species
UACGAAGGGGGCUAGCGUUGUUCGGAAUUACUGGGCGUAAAGCGUGCGCAGGCGGCUUUCCAAGUCAGUGGUGAAAGCCCGGAGCUCAACUCCGGAAAUGCCAUUGAAACUGUGAAGCUUGAGAACGAGAGAGGUGAGUGGAAUUCCCAGUGUAGAGGUGAAAUUCGUAGAUAUUGGGAAGAACACCAGUGGCGAAGGCGGCUCACUGGCUCGUAACUGACUCUCAUGCACGACAGCGUGGGGAUCAAACAGG